UCCGAAUACUGAUUGAUAAAAUGUCAAUUACAUGUACUUAUAGAAACAAUAAUAUUAUGUAUCAAGAUAUUUCUUAUCUAACGUAAAGCAUGUGACGGUCAUCUAUUUUUUAACAAAAUUCAAGUUUUCUUGAGAAAGAAAGAAAAUGGGUUCGUCUAUUAUUUGGAUAUUAUUUCUACUAGAGUUGCUGUUGUUUUCCAGUUCUGGCGUCAUCUCCAAACCAACAAAGAAUGGCAAAGUGCGUCCUGUUUGGGGAUACCAACCAAUUCUUCCUGCACCAGUCCAUCCCUGGCCACAGGAGCAAGUAACCGAUGUUCCUAAAUGGGGAGAUGACAUGUUUGGACAAGGAUGCAAAUGUAGUUUUCAUCUGUCAUGUCACAAUGAUGCGACGUGUCAUCAUCACGGACCUGAUUAUCGAUGUGUAUAUAGUUGCUGUGGAACUAGAUGCGUUUUUCCGGAUGAGUAGACAAUGCUUAGAUAAAAAAAAAACCCAGAGAAAACACAUAUAUCACAGGAAUUAUGUAGAAAAGGACUGGCAGUUUUUCUAGCUUUAAUCAUGUGAAACUAAUAAAUUACAAAGUCAUAAGACA